GUAGGUGGCAAGCGUUGUCCGGAAUUAGUUGGGACGUAAAGCGCGCGCAGGGCGGUCCUUUAAGUCUGAUGUGAAAGCCCACGGCUCAACCGUGGAGGGUCAUUGGAAACGUGGGGGACUUGAGUACAGAAGAGGAAAGCGGAAUUCCAAGUGUAGCGGUGAAAUGCGUAGAGAUUUGGAGGAACACCAGUGGCGAAGGCGGCUUUCUGGUCUGUAACUGACGCUGAGGCGCGAAAGCGUGGGGAGCAAACAGGAUUAGAUACCCUGGUAGUCCACGCCGUAAACGAUGAGUGCUAAGUGUUAGGGGGUUUCCGCCCCUUAGUGCUGCAGCUAACGCAUUAAGCACUCCGCCUGGGGAGUACGGCCGCAAGGCUG
rnacentral:rRNA from 1 species